AUGAAGGUCGCAGCUCAAAUCGGUCAGCUGCUAAACGACACCAUCAGCCCCGAUUGCGCCGCCGUACGUACGGCCACCGAAGCCCUAGACCGCCUCUCUCAGCUCCUCGAUUUCCCUUACUACCUCAUCUCCAUCUCCGCCGGAGGUGAAAAUCAAGGUCAGAAAAUCGCGGCGGCGACGUACUUGAAAAACUUCACUAGGAAAAAUGUUGAAGGAGAUGUGUCGAGUUCGGCACCGAAAGUCAGUAAGGAGUUCAAGGACCAGCUCUUGCGAGAUUUGCUGCAAUCGGAGCCCGCGGUUGUUAAAGUUUUGGUUGAAGUGUUUCGGGUUAUUGUUGUUGCGGAGUUUGUUAAGCAGAAUUGGUGGCCUGAACUUGUUCCUGAUCUGCGAGCCGCUCUUGAGAAUAGUAAUCUUAUUAGUGGCACAAACUCGCAAUGGUACAUGAUCAAUGCCCUGAGAGUUCUUCACGCCCUUGUUUGACCAUUUCAGUAUUUUUUGGAGGCUACAGUUUCUUAAGAGCCAGUACCGCCACAGCUGGAGCUAAUUGCAAAGGAUAUUCAUGUGCCUUUGUUAACAUUAUUCCAUCAAAUCGUUCCAAAAGGUUACAUGGAAACAGAAAAUUUGCUUCUGAUUGUCUGCAAAUGUAUGUAUUUCACUGUGAGGUUGCAUAUGCCAUCUGCUUUAGUGCCUCUUCUACCUUUGUUUUGUCACGAUCUAAUUGGCGUUCUUGAUUCGUUGAGUUUUGACCGCGUGUUAACUCCUGAAAAUGGGUACCAGAUGAGGGUAAAGACUGGAAAAAGAAGUUUGCGCAUUUUCUGUACUCUCAUUACUCGACACUGAAAGUAUUCUGAUAGGUUGAUGCCAGAUAUGAUAAAAUGCGCUCUGAACAUAGUCAAAUACAGCAAGAAUAUCAGCAAAAUUGACUUUUUAUCGAAGAGGGUCCUUUCAUUAUCUUUUGAUGUGAUAUCACACGUUCUUGAAACAGGGCCUGGAUGGAGAUUAGUUUCUCCACAUUUUUCAUAUCUAUUGGAUUCUGCAAUCUUUUUGUCAUUGGUAAUGAAUGAAAAGGAUAUCUCAGAGUGGGAAGAAGACGCAGAGGAGUACACACUGACCUUGAAGAAAUUUCAGGCUGGAGGGAGGAUCUAUUUACAGCCAGAAAAAAUGCUAUAAACUUGCUCGGUGUUAUUUCAGUGUCAAAGGGACCUCAAAUGGGAACUUCUGCUAAUGCCUCAUCAGCUUCAUCAAAACGCAAAAAGGGUGAAAAGAAGCGAAACAAUCAAACUUGUUCAGUUGGAGAACUAGUGGUGCUUCCAUUUCUGUCAAAGUUUCCAAUUCCUUCUGAUGCUAAUCCAUCCCAAACUAGAAUUACUAAUGACUAUUUUGGUGUUUUCAUGGCAUAUGCUGGCUUGCUAGAUUUUCUAAGGGAGUGGGAACCUACAUAUGCAGCAACUUUGGGUUCAAUAUCGGCUACUACCAUUGUAUAAUUUAUCAGUGUGCCCACCGUUGGUUGCCACUGCAAACUGGGUGCUGGGGGAACUGGCAUCGUGUCUACCUGAGGACAUGAGCGCAGAUGCAUGUGUAUUCCUCGUUGCUGAAGGCAUUGGCUAUGCCUGAUAGCAGGGAUACUUCUUGUUAUCCAGUGCGGGUAUGUGUGGCUGCAGCCAUUGUAACACUUCUUGAUAAUGACUGCACAUCACCUGACUGGCUUCCUCUCCUUCAAGUUGUGAUUGGUAGAAUUGCCCGUAACGAGGACGAGAACUCUAUUUUAUUCCAGCUUCUUUGUUCUGUGGAGCAGGCGGGAAAUGAAAAUGUUGCAGCCCAUAUCCCAUAUUAUUUCGUCAUUGGUUGUGGAAAUCUCAAAAUGCAUGCCCCUUGAUCUGGAUCCAUGGCCUCAAAUGGUAGAAAGAGGUUUUGGGGCAUUAGUAGUGAUGGCGCAAAUUUGGGAAAAUGAUACGUCUGAAGAUCUGGAAGAGAAUUAAUCCAACCAUAACUUUCUAUCAGGUCAAGCUACUAUUGGCAGAGCUUUCUCUGAUCUCUUGCAACGGGCUUGGCUUGCACCAAUGCAUCGAUCGGAUCAGGAAGAUAACACUUUGCCACCUCCAUCUUGGCUAGAUUCUGCAUCAAUGUUGCUUUGAUCCAUCAUGCUAUCUGUUUUUUCUCUGUUAACGGAUUUUAAAAAGUAAAAAACAGAAAUCAAACAGUGAUGCCUUCCAUCACUAUUUCUCUGCAACUCGUCGAUCUCCCUUAACUCUUUCUCCGCGUCUCCAGUUCUCCUCCCAUCCUCAAUGGGGUUGUCAUGCCCCCCACUAUAGUUCCAAACCUCUACCUGCUUUGUGGUUCUUCAUCAUCCAUGUGACACCGUAGCUCAACCAUGUC